UACGGGGGGGGGUAAGCGUUGUUCGGAAUUACUGGGCGUAAAGGGCUCGUAGGCGGCCAACUAAGUCGGACGUGAAAUCCCUCAGCUUAACUGGGGAACUGCGUCCGAUACUGGAUGGCUUGGAUUUGGGAGAGGGAUGCGGAAUUCCAGGUGUAGCGGUGAAAUGCGUAGAUAUCUGGAGGAACACCGGUGGCGAAGGCGGCAUCCUGGACCAAUAUUGACGCUGAGGAGCGAAAGCGUGGGGGAGCGAACAGG
rnacentral:rRNA from 1 species